rnacentral:rRNA from 1 species
AGACCCGAAACCCGGUGAUCUAGCCAUGGGCAGGUUGAAGGUUGGGUAACACUAACUGGAGGACCGAACCGACUAAUGUUGAAAAAUUAGCGGAUGACCUGUGGCUGGGGGUGAAAGGCCAAUCAAACCGGGAGAUAGCUGGUUCUCCCCGAAAGCUAUUUAGGUAGCGCCUCGUGAAUUCAUCUCCGGGGGUAGAGCACUGUUUCGGCUAGGGGGCCAUCCCGGCUUACCAACCCGAUGCAAACUGCGAAUACCGGAGAAUGUUAUCACGGGAGACACACGGCGGGUGCUAACGUCCGUCGUGAAGAGGGAAACAACCCAGACCGCCAGCUAAGGUCCCAAAGUCAUGGUUAAGUGGGAAACGAUGUGGGAAGGCCCAGACAGCCAGGAUGUUGGCUUAGAAGCAGCCAUCAUUUAAAGAAAGCGUAAUAGCUCACUGGUCGAGUCGGCCUGCGCGGAAGAUGUAACGGGGCUAAACCAUGCACCGAAGCUGCGGCAGCGACGCUUAUGCGUUGUUGGGUAGGGGAGCGUUCUGUAAGCCUGCGAAGGUGGCCUGUGAGGGUUGCUGGAGGUAUCAGAAGUGCGAAUGCUGACAUAAGUAACGAUAAAGCGGGUGAAAAGCCCGCUCGCCGGAAGACCAAGGGUUCCUGUCCAACGUUAAUCGGGGCAGGGUGAGUCGACCCCUAAGGCGAGGCCGAAAGGCGUAGUCGAUGGGAAACGGGUUAAUAUUCCCGUACUUGGUGUUACUGCGAAGGGGGGACGGAGAAGGCUAUGUUGGCCGGGCGACGGUUGUCCCGGUUUAAGCGUGUAGGUGUGUGUUCCAGGUAAAUCCGGUU